AGCAGCCGCGGUAAUUCCAGCUCCAAUAGCGUAUAUUAAAGUUGUUGCAGUUAAAAAGCUCGUAGUUGAAUUUCGGGACCAAUUUGCUGGUCGUGCCUCGGUACGUACUGGUAUUAUUGGUUUCUCCCUUCUGAAGAACCAUGAUGCCAUUAAUUUGGUGUCGUGGGGAAUCAGGACUGUUACUUUGAAAAAAUUAGAGUGUUUAAAGCAGGCAUACGCUUGAAUACAUUAGCAUGGAAUAAUGAAAUAGGACGUUUGAUUCUAUUUUGUUGGUUUCUAGGAUCGACGUAAUGAUUAAUAGGGAUAGUUGGGGGCAUUAGUAUUCAAUUGUCAGAGGUGAAAUUCUUGGAUUUAUUGAAGACUAACUACUGCGAAAGCAUUUGCCAAGGAUGUUUUCAUUAAUCAAGAACGAAAGUUAGGGGAUCGAAGACGAUCAGAUACCGUCGUAGUCUUAACCAUAAACUAUGCCGACUAGGGAUCGGAUGAUGUUAAUUUUUUAAUGACUCA
rnacentral:rRNA from 1 species